rnacentral:rRNA from 1 species
AUUGAACGCUGGCGGCAGGCCUAACACAUGCAAGUCGAGCGAGCGGCGGACGGGUGAGUAAUGUAUGGGGAUCUGCCCGAUAGCGGGGGAUAACUACUGGAAACGGUGGCUAAUACCGCAUACUAUCGUAUGACCCCAUAUGGGAUUAGCUAGUAGGUGGGGUAACGGCUCACCUAGGCGACGAUCCCUAGCUGGUCUGAGAGGAUGACCAGCCACACUGGAACUGGGACACGGUCCAGACUCCUACGGGAGGCAGCAGUGGGGAAUAUUGCACAAUGGGCGAAAGCCUGAUGCAGCCAUGCCGCGUGUAUGAAGAAGGCCUUCGGGUUGUAAAGUACUUUCAGCGAGGAGGAGUUACUCGCAGAAGAAGCACCGGCUAACUCCGUGCCAGCAGCCGCGGUAAUUC